UACGUAGGGUGCAAGCGUUAAUCGGAAUUACUGGGCGUAAAGGGUGUGUAGGCGGUUCGUUAAGUCUGUCGUGAAAUCCCCGGGCUCAACCUGGGAAUGGCGAUGGAUACUGGCGAGCUAGAGUGUGUCAGAGGAUGGUGGAAUUCCCGGUGUAGCGGUGAAAUGCGUAGAGAUCGGGAGGAACAUCAGUGGCGAAGGCGGCCAUCUGGGACAACACUGACGCUGAAGCACGAAAGCGUGGGGAGCAAACAGG
rnacentral:rRNA from 1 species